rnacentral:lncRNA from 1 species
UGAUUUUUUUUUUUUUUUUGACAUUCGAAACAUGUUUUAAAUUUUUGAAUGAUUGAUAUGAAUUUAUUUUUAUCUACAAUUACUUGAUCACUAAUUGUAUGAAUGUUGUGUCUUGUUUUACCUUCGAAAGAUGGAAAAUAAGUUAGACACAAUGUCAAUUAUCAUAGAAUCCGAUAGGGAAUAGAAAUAUCCCACUAUACUUUACAUGAUAUUUAAGUAUUCACAAAUCCAUUAGUACAUUUUUAUAUGUUCACAGCCGUUACAAAAAUAUAGUAAAGUCACAUGUAAAAGUAUGUUUAAUUCUACUUGAGAUUUUUAUAUGUUCGUAGCCGUUACAAAAGUAUUCGCAAAAGGUUUUGAUUUCUAUGUUUCAUUUGAAUUGUCCUAGGAACCAUAAACUUCCUCAUCCUAUUGUCAAUGGCUUUAUCCAAACCUAAGGUAGUCUUGAUUAUCUCAGGAUAUUCAGUCAUGUUGUUAAACGUGAUUGUGUAAGAAUAUAAAUAAUCAUGACGCAAUUUUGAAAAUGGUGAACUUGCUGAGAUUGUGUAAUAUGUCUGCGUCCCAUGGUUUUGUGAGUUCUAAGUUUCCCAUCUUGAUUCGUGCUUUGCUUUAAAGGAUUUGGGUGCUUUAGUUAUUUCCCGCUCCUUGAGUUCCAAAUCUUGGCUUCAUCAUUGUCAAUGUAAGUAUCUUUUUGAUACGUUAGCUAGAGCUCUCAAUUAUCCUUGUCGAUAUCUUGUGCUUCACUUAUGCUCUUCAGACGUUGCUCUUUGUUAACGAUGUUAAUCUUUCACAUCUUACUCAAUAUAGGUGUCUCGCUGGAGAUAUGCUCCAUCAUUACUCUCCCAAGAUGGAAGUUGUACACACAUGUUUGGCUUAUAUUAUUUAUUUAUUUAUUUAUUUUUUGUAUCAAGUGUCAUAUUAUUGAAAUGAGCUGCUUCUUUCAUUGAAGCAAGGCCAAACAUGCCUUUAGUAUUUUAGACAAGUAGAGGAGCUAUAUGCAUUCAUUUCUUUUUUGUAGUUGGCCAUUGACAUCCAUUCAACGUCAACGAAAAGAUAAAACGAAAGUAAGGUUAAAUUGCAGUAGCCGU